rnacentral:rRNA from 1 species
AACGAACGCUGGCGGCAUGCCUAACACAUGCAAGUCGAACGAGACCUUCGGGUCUAGUGGCGCACGGGUGCGUAACGCGUGGGAACCUGCCCUUAGGUUCGGAAUAACUCCCCGAAAGGGGUGCUAAUACCGGAUAAUGUCUUCGGACCAAAGAUUUAUCGCCUUUGGAUGGGCCCGCGUUGGAUUAGCUAGUUGGUAGGGUAAAAGCCUACCAAGGCGACGAUCCAUAGCUGGUCUGAGAGGAUGAUCAGCCACACUGGGACUGAGACACGGCCCAGACUCCUACGGGAGGCAGCAGUGGGGAAUAAUGGACAAUGGGCGAAAGCCUGAUCCAGCAAUGCCGGGUGAGUGAUGAAGGCCUUAGGGUUGUAAAGCUCUUUUACCCGGGAUGAUAAUGACAGUACCGGGAGAAUAAGCUCCGGCUAACUCCGUG